AGUGAACGCUGGCGGUAGGCCUAACACAUGCAAGUCGAACGGCAGCACAGUAAGAGCUUGCUCUUACGGGUGGCGAGUGGCGGACGGGUGAGGAAUACAUCGGAAUCUACUUUUUCGUGGGGGAUAACGUAGGGAAACUUACGCUAAUACCGCAUACGACCUACGGGUGAAAGCAGGGGAUCUUCGGACCUUGCGCGAUUGAAUGAGCCGAUGUCGGAUUAGCUAGUUGGCGGGGUAAAGGCCCACCAAGGCGACGAUCCGUAGCUGGUCUGAGAGGAGGGUCAGCCACACUGGAACUGGAACACGGUCCAGACUCCUACGGGGGGCAGCAGUGGGGAAUAUUGGACAAUGGGCGCAAGCCUGAUCCAGCCAUACCGCGUGGGUGAAGAAGGCCUUCGGGUUGUAAAGCCCUUUUGUUGGGAAAGAAAAGCAGCAGGUUAAUACCCCGCUGUUCUGACGGUACCCAAAGAAUAAGCACCGGCUAACUUCGUG
rnacentral:rRNA from 1 species